GAAAAUUUUAAAAAAAAUCAUAAGGUACAAUCCCUUUUAGCGAUAAGUACCACUCAAUAGCACAAAUAUUUUUUUCCCCAGAAAAUCGGCUUUUAAUAAAGCUCUUUUAGACUUUUACACUUGCUCACGACAGAUAUCCCUUGACGCCGUUAUAACCACAACAAAAACUGACGGCGUUAAGAAAACCGUCCAAAACGCCCUCUCUCUGUCUCUGCCUCUAUUUCUUUCUGCAAAUAUACAAGUAGAAGAACAAGCAGAACCUUCUCUCUCUACUUUUGCACAUAUCUAUAUAUUCGAUACUCUCGCACGCAGCUACUCUCUCUUUCUAGGGUUUCAGACCGGUGGGAACGUACAGGUUCGAUCACGUAAAAUUCGCUUGUAUUUAUAAAGAGGCUCGGUAUAAAUCUAUAAUUACUUCAAUAUAUAUGUGAUAUUUGUUUGUGUUUAUAUUAUUAUCAUAGAUGUGUGCAAGUGAGAGAUUUAGAUGCCUUAAUUGUGAGAUAUGAAUGGAAAUUAUGUGCAUCAGAAAGGAUUAUUAUGUAAUGGUGAAUGAGAUAUGCUAAUAUGUUGACUGUGAUUACAGUUAUUUGGGCAUGAAUUUCGGAUCUCUUAUGACAACUACAGUGUCGAACUCUUGUUGUUUUUUUGGUGUUUUACCUGUCUUCUUCUCCGAAAUAGCUUUGUGAAUCGCUAAUUGUGCAUCUGGCAUUUGUUUGCGGUGUAUAAAUUUAUUGGUUCGAUUUUCGCUUAAUUAAUCAAAAUUGUUUCUGUAUUUUCAGUUUGCUGGAGAUUUAGGUAAAUAAUUUUUGGUGAUGAUCGAGCUGUUUUAUCAGUAUGGGUUGAUUUGACACAGUCAAAAUGGUCCUGUAGUUCUGUUGUAUUUGAUGAUUGACUGCAGUUUAUAAUUUUUCAUUUGUUCGGAUUUUAAUUAUGUGAAUGAUCGUAAAAGUACUGUAUACCACUCCGACUGUAUGCAUACAGUUUCUGUAGAGACUACAGUUGGGAAAUCAUAUCUCACAAUACUUCAGUCUCCAUUUCCACUUUCUUUGUGACUAUUCUGGUGUCAAUCAUGAUAUUCAGUUUUUCCAUAUCCACUCAAGUCUGAUAACUGGCUGUGUUGAUAUCAUUAUAUUUUAGUUUUCAAUUUUCUCUUACUUAUCUGUUUAGUAUUAUAUAAUACUAUUAUAAAUUUUUAAUGCUUUGUAUACAAGUUUACUGUGAGUCAGCUAAGGUAUCAGAGAUUUGGGUUAUUGAGUAAGGUCCUGGUAAAAAAAUCAGAAGGUUUUUCACUUUUGGCACAUGUAAAGUGUAUAAGUUAUUUCGAGAUCAUAAUUAAUUGAUGUCUGAUUGUUACCAUUCAAUUUUUGAUUGCAGAUAACUCGUGUUUGUAUGAGUUCUUCUCCCUUUUGCUAAAAUCAUUGAUGUGAAAGACAGUUACCCGUAAGCUAUCAAUAAUUUGUUCUGGGUGUGUGAGAGAAAAUGGGAUCUGCUUGUUGUGUUGCUGCUAGAGACAGUACUAUAACAAGUGGAAGACCCAAUGAAACUUUGCAGAGGCAUGUUUGCCAUUCACCAUCAUGGAGCUUUCUAUUGGACAACCGUGGAAGGGUAGCAGGUGAAGAGACUUCUUCAAAUAUAUUACUUAAUGGAGGUGGAGGUGAUGAUCGUUUGGAUGUUAAAUCUGCUACCACUGUGGAAACUGCAUUAGCUUCUGAGGAGGGCAGUUCAUUAGAUAGUUUCCGUUCACUUGCAUGUCGGAAGUCCCCAGUUUCAGAUGGAAAUGGUGGAAUUUU
rnacentral:lncRNA from 1 species